UACGUAGGUCCCGAGCGUUGUCCGGAUUUAUUGGGCGUAAAGCGAGCGCAGGUGGUUUAAUAAGUCUGAUGUAAAAGGCAGUGGCUCAACCAUUGUGUGCAUUGGAAACUGUUAGACUUGAGUGCAGUAGAGGAGAGUGGAAUUCCAUGUGUAGCGGUGAAAUGCGUAGAUAUAUGGAGGAACACCAGUGGCGAAGGCGGCUUUUUGGCCUGUAACUGACACUGAGGCGCGAAAGCGUGGGGAGCAAACAGG
rnacentral:rRNA from 1 species